rnacentral:lncRNA from 1 species
GUUAAAAGCAAUCUUUUAAAAUGCUUAAUUAGUGGAAUAGUUCUUCGUACUUUAAAACGGCGGUUGCCAUGACUACGGCGCAUCCGCACGCAUCAUUGUUAGGCCUGACCAUACCUGGAUCACCUGCACCACCGCGACGCCAUUCUCCUCACUCUCCAGCUUCAGCGGUGCCCACGUUUACGCAUUUGUGAAGAAAAGGUUCACCUCCACUGAAGCUGGCCGUGGCAUCGUGAUACAACUCCACUGGGCUCCACCGUUGAAUGGGAACAAGCGACGUCAACUUUCUCCGAACGUGCAUCGUGAAACCCCUACCGAGAAACAUGCACGCCGAAUUUCACGUCAACCGCCGGAAACUUCGAGUCAAGAACCUACAGCGCAGCUAUGACCAAGCAGCAGGAGUCUAUUAUUUGGAUGACGACGCCUACACCGUUAAACAUUACUCUGCCCUAGCUGUCGUGGAAAAGCAAGGCGGCAUUGUUUUUUAAGAAUAAUACUCAUAUUGUUUUAUUGUUGGUGUUGAUUUCUUUCCUGCUUGUUUGAUUGUCUCCAUUGAUUGUUACGUCAAGAGUCUAUUCAUUAUGAUAAAUUUUGCAAAUUCGUCAUUUAUGUUUACUCAUAUGUUGAAAUGUUCGUGUUCACAAUGAAUCCUACGUCGCACAGUUGAUCUGCACAAUCGUUGCUUCUGUUUUCCGUCACCUGGUUCAGUUAAAUGCUAGCGGAUACUGCGCACUUUUUUACAGCAUGCACAAUUCGAGAGUGCUGUAUUAUUUUGUACACAGCAAUGGUAUUUUUCAAUAAACUCAUCAUAAUUCAGUUUCAAUGAAUAUGUACCGUUAUGUAUGAAUUCCUGAAAGUCCCUAUAGCAUUAGUUCGAAAACAUCGGUUUAUCUGAUCCGAACUAUUUUUAUGUACUAUCUGAAUAAACACGGUGCUUACAUAAAA